ensembl:misc_RNA 7SK 7SK RNA
GGAUGGAAGGGCAAUCUGGCUGUAACAUCUGUCACCCCAUUGAUGGCCAGGGUUGACUUGGCUGAUCUGGCUGGCUAGGCGGGUGUCUCCUCCCUCCCUCACCACUCCAUGUACAUCCCUCCCGAGGCUGUAUGCUCAGUGGAAGGGGAUGACCUUUCUGGAUAGAGGAGGACUAUUCCUCAGUCAAGGGUACAGGAGUAGCUGCGCAGCCCUGCUAGAAUCUCUAAACAAGCUCUCCAAGUCCGUGUGUAGGAGAACAUAGGGUAGUCAGGCUUCCAACACUCCAGACACAUCCAAAUGAGCUACUGCAUGUCUACCUUUCUUA